GACGUAGGGCGCGAGCGUUGUCCGGAUUUAUUGGGCGUAAAGAGCUCGUAGGCGGCCUGUCGCGUCUGCUGUGAAAUCCCGGGGCUCAACCCCGGGCGUGCAGUGGAUACGGGCUGGCUGGAGGCAGGCAGGGGAGAACGGAAUUCCCGGUGUAGCGGUGAAAUGCGCAGAUAUCGGGAGGAACACCGGUGGCGAAGGCGGUUCUCUGGGCCUGACUGACGCUGAGGAGCGAAAGCGU
rnacentral:rRNA from 1 species